UGGGGGAAUUUUGGACAAUGGGGGAAACCCUGAUCCAGCCAUCCCGCGUGUGCGAUGAAGGCCUUCGGGUUGUAAAGCACUUUUGGCAGGAAAGAAACGUCGCGGGUUAAUACCCCGCGAAACUGACGGUACCUGCAGAAUAAGCACCGGCUAACUACGUGCCAGCAGCCGCGGUAAUACGUAGGGUGCAAGCGUUAAUCGGAAUUACUGGGCGUAAAGCGUGCGCAGGCGGUUCGGAAAGAAAGAUGUGAAAUCCCAGAGCUUAACUUUGGGAACUGCAUUUUUAACUACCGGGCUAGAGUGUGUCAGAGGGAGGUGGAAUUCCGCGUGUAGCAGUGAAAUGCGUAGAUAUGCGGAGGAACACCGAUGGCGAAGGCAGCCUCCUGGGAUAACACUGACGCUCAUGCACGAAAGCGUGGGGAGCAAAACAGGAUUAGAUACCCCUGGUAGUCCACGCCCUAAACGAUGUCAACUAGCUGUUGGGGCCUUCGGGCCUUGGUAGCGCAGCUAACGCGUGAAGUUGACCGCCUGGGGAGUACGGUCGCAAGAUUAAAACUCAAAUGAAUUGAC
rnacentral:rRNA from 1 species